GGCUCAGGAUGAACGCUAGCGACAGGCUUAACACAUGCAAGUCGAGGGCAGCAUGAACAUAGCUUGCUAUGUUUGAUGGCGACCGGCGCACGGGUGCGUAACACGUAUCCAAUCUGCCCGUUACUCGGGGAUAGCCUUCUGAAAGGAAGAUUAAUACCCGAUAGUAUCCAUUAGCGGCAUCGCCUAUGGAUUAAAGAUUUAUCGGUAACGGAUGAGGAUGCGUACGAUUAGCUAGUUGGUGAGGUAACGGCUCACCAAGGCGACGAUCAGUAGCCGACCUGAGAGGGUGACCGGCCACAUUGGGACUGAGACACGGCCCAAACUCCUACGGGAGGCAGCAGUGGGGAAUAUUGGACAAUGGGCGCAAGCCUGAUCCAGCGACGCCGCGUGAGUGAGGAAGUAUUUCGGUAUGUAAAGCUCUAUCAGCAGGGAAGAAAAUGACGGUACCUGACUAAGAAGCCCCGGCUAACUACGUG
rnacentral:rRNA from 1 species